UGAAUUUGCAGCAGUGGCUUAUUAGAAAGGGAGCUAACAGCACACUCGGAAUUCCCCAGUGUGGUGAUCUCUUCCAUUCAAUGUUCUCAAAGGGAUCUCUGCCUCUUGUAAUAUUUGAACUGAGCUGUAAACCUGGGAGAUGUGUUAGCCUGGAUACUUUGGAAGCCAAGGUGGAGCUUUGUUUGCAAGAAGCUGCUACCUUUUUACAGCAGGAGAGAAGCAUGGCUGCCAGCAACUGGAUCCCACAGUAGGAUUUUUUUUUUUUAAGUGAAGAUGGGCCAGCAAAUGUGAGAAAUCUGAACUAAGGCCGUUUGGUACAGGCAAACUCAUGUAUAGUUGUGCAAGAUGGAAGAUAUGGUUGUUGCUGAUUAAUAUCUGAUAUGACAGGUUGCAAUUAUAGGCCUGUCAAUGCAAUCUCUGCUUUGAGUCUCAUUCAAAUGAAAAAAAUUCACAAGUAUUUUAGAGUUUGCAUUGUGUGGAUCUGAUCAUUGUUUUCAGUGAAAAGUAGUGAAAAAACUGGAUUAAGCAUGGCUUAAAAUCCUAUUAUUACUGCUGGCAGUGGUUAAAAAAAAAAGUACCACAGUGGGUGUGUUUUGCUUUGUGUGAAUGCUUCUGCUUUAUAUGACGAGGAAGAAAAAUGUUAACAGUAGAGUAUAGGUUAGUUUGAUUUGUCUGUACAUUUAAAACACUCAGAUAAGAUGUCAAAGUCCCUAAAAUGAAAUGUCAACAUCGGUGACUGUCUCCA
rnacentral:lncRNA from 1 species